GUUUCAAUUCCUCAUAGGCAGGCUAUCGGCUCAAACUUCAAUUUUAACUUUUGCCGUUUGUUUAAUUUG
rnacentral:sRNA from 1 species